GAUAAACUCAUUAAAGCAAGUAAAAUGAUCUUGUUUUAAGACCUACAUCAGAGCUCAUUGUCGAAUAAGUGUUUCGAAAAGUUUUUCUUCAACCUAAAUAAUUAUAUAAUCAAAUCUGGAAAACCCUUUUAUCAAGGUUUAUCAAGUAAAUGAAGGAAUUUUCACUAAACGUAAAACAUGAAAUCAUAGACUGGGUGGAUUUCGAAAAUAUUAAAACCAAAGAGGAACCAAUUGAAGAACUAACAACCAGUUAUGAACCAGUUCUAAGUCUGCAAGAUUACGAUAGUGAAUACAAUAUCCCUGCAACUUUUAGUUUUUCUCGAAAAUCUCGACCAACUCUUAUAAUUGGAAAACAUACAUUUUUGAAUAUUGCAAGGAAUAAAAUAAACGGAAACUCUUGGCGUUGUGCCAAAAAUAAGCAGCAUCGAUGCAAAGCUAGAGCAGAAACAAAAUUAAUUGGCAAUGAACUUAAAUGUCGAUUGAAAUAUUCACAUUCACAUGACUAAAAUUGUUUCAAUAAAAAGUGGAAUCAAAGACUGGAUGGAAUUCGAAAAGAAAUCCUUGGAAGGCCUAAACACAAACAACCACAAUGAUCGGCCAGCUAAAAAAUUAGAAUAUCCCGAUAGUGAAUAUAACAUUCUACCAACUUUUGGUUGUUCUUCACGAUCUCGACCAACUUUAAUAAUUGGAAAGUAUACUUAUCUGAGUCGAACAGAGAAAAAAAACACUUAUCGAUGUGCCAGAAAUAGAAGGACUGGAUGCAAAGCUACAGCACAUACAAAAUUGAUUGGCGGUGUUCUUAUGUGUCGAUUGAAUAAUUCACAUUCACAUGAUUAGUAUUUUUUUUACAAUAACAACCAAGUAAAUUAUAAUGAAGAAAUUUAAUCUACAUGUUGUUAUUUGAGGCAUUUUUUUUAUUAAAACAGGGCUUAUGAUAAAAACUAACAAGCUUAAAAAAAAACUAGUCGUAGAUAAAAUAUUUAUAAAUGUUAUUUUAUUCAAUAACAUACAAUUCAAAACAAAUAUUUAUGAAAAAUGUUAAUACCUAAAUCAAACAUAUUUGCUUUACUACAGUAAUCUUAUGCAUCAGACAAUAGGUUAGUGCUAAAAGUUCCAACUUUUGGAAUAUCUAAUGUUUUUUGUUGGGUGCCAGGACGAGUACCUACUCUCCUCAAAAAAUUUCUAAUACUUAAAGGUCUGAAAAAUUUGUGUUUUUAUUCACUUGUAACAUAUAAACAGAAUUUGUCGGGUACUUUUUGCUGGCAUCUGGCAUAUUUUAGAUAAAUAAAAUGCAUAAUUGAGCCCAUAACUUCAUUAAAUAUGAUACAUAUAGUUGAAAAACAAGUAUUUUUUGUUAUUAUUUAAGAAAAGAUAAAACGAAAAAAAUUCUUGGCGCCUUAGUAAAAAUAAAUUUUUUAUGAUUCACUCGGGCGUAUACGUACUUUUUUUUAAAUAUUUUUUAUUUUGACUAUAUUAAAGGAAAGAGUGGAAUAU